rnacentral:rRNA from 1 species
UGGGGAAUAUUGCACAAUGGGGGAAACCCUGAUGCAGCGACGCCGCGUGGAGGAAGAAGGUCUUCGGAUUGUAAACUCCUGUCUUCGGGGACGAUAAUGACGGUACCCGAGGAGGAAGCAGUGGCUAACUCUGUGCCAGCAGCCGCGGUAAUACAGAGACUGCAAGCGUUACUCGGAUUCACUGGGCGUAAAGGGAGCGCAGGCGGAAUCGUGUGUCGGAUGUGAAACCCGGGGGCUCAACUCCCGGACUGCGUCUGAAACUGCGAUUCUAGGGACUCGGAGGGGCCAGUGGAAUUCUUGGUGGAGCAGUGAAAUGCGUAGAUAUCAAGAGGAACACCAACGGCGAAGGCAGCUGGCUGGACGAGAUCCGACGCUCAGGCUCGAAAGUAUGGGGAGCAAAAA